rnacentral:rRNA from 1 species
GACGAACGCUGGCGGCGUGCCUAAUACAUGCAAGUCGAGCGCGAGAAGCACCUUCGGGUGUGGAUCGAGCGGCGAACGGGUGAGUAACACGUGGGCAACCUGCCCGCAAGACUGGGAUAAUUCCGGGAAACCGGGGCUAAUACCAGAUACGUCUUCCCUUCGCAUGAAGGGAAGGGAAAGGUUGCAUUAGCAGCCACUUGCGGAUGGGCCCGCGGCGCAUUAGCUAGUUGGUGGGGUAACGGCCUACCAAGGCGACGAUGCGUAGCCGACCUGAGAGGGUGACCGGCCACACUGGGACUGAGACACGGCCCAGACUCCUGCGGGAGGCAGCAGUAGGGAAUUUUCCGCAAUGGACGAAAGUCUGACGGAGCAACGCCGCGUGAGUGAGGACGGUCUUCGGAUUGUAAAACUCUGUUCUUUCGGAAGAGCGUCACGGAGCUGAAUAGGUUCUGUGACCCGACGGUACGAAAGGAGAAAGCCCCGGCUAACUAC